rnacentral:rRNA from 1 species
GACGUAGGGGGCAAGCGUUAUUCGGAAUCAUUGGGCGUAAAGCGCUCGUAGGCGGAUCGAACAGUCGGUGAAGAAAGACCUGGGCUCAACUCAGGGAACGGCACCGAUACUAUCGGUCUUGAGGCAAUCAGAGGAUGAUGGAAUUCCUGGUGUAGCGGUGAAAUGCGCAGAUAUCAGGAGGAACACCAAUGGCGAAGGCAGCUCGCUGGGACGGUACUGACGCUGAGACGCGAAAGCGUGGGGAGCAAACAGG